UACGUAGGGUGCGAGCGUUGUCCGGAAUUAUUGGGCGUAAAGGGCUCGUAGGCGGUCUGUCACGUCGGGAGUGAAAACUCAGGGCUUAACCCUGAGCCUGCUUCCGAUACGGGCUGACUAGAGGUAUGCAGGGGAGAACGGAAUUCCUGGUGUAGCGGUGAAAUGCGCAGAUAUCAGGAGGAACACCGGUGGCGAAGGCGGUUCUCUGGGCCUUACCUGACGCUGAGGAGCGAAAGCAUGGGGAGCAAACAGG
rnacentral:rRNA from 1 species